ACCGCGAUCAACUUCAAGGACUCGAAGUUAAAAAGGACGGCACUUAGGCGGUAGCCAUCGUUGACGAGGGGAUGAGUCAUUGCGACGAAUUUUAUCUUGCCGGUGUUCGUUUCCACGAUCGCCGUUGAAAACGACACCAGGUUCCAGCACCUGAUUAGUUAUUAAAAGCCGAGGUGCCGGAGGUCACCGGCUACAUCCGGUGCAGUACCUCGUGAAUAGCACAAUGUCUUCUGAUCAGCCGUGCCCCAGGGACACGUGUUACGUGCAGCGGGACAAUAUAUACUAAAAUAUAUACUGAGGGAAUAGAUUGGAAAUUCCAGACACAUGCUGUGUUCAUGUGUGUUCAUGACUACUGUUGCAUCUGACCAAAGGCGGUGUACUAUACCUGCGAUUCGUAUUCCGUGAACACGGCGGGGAUAUCAAACGUUACUAUUGGAAAACGAUAUUACAAUUCCUGUAGGUUGAUAACAAAAUUAACAAAUGCUUCAAAGUUUGGACGACUUCAUUCAAUUGCAAGGCUGGUGUUAAUGCACUCGAUCCUCAUUGACUUCUACCGAAGGAAGGUGUGCCCGUUGAAACCAUGGGCAUUCGUAAAUCGAUCGAGGGAUUACAUCGAAACGAUUCCAAAGAGUCCGGAGUUUAUGCAACGAAAUGGAUUGAGCAUGCUAUUUGAGUUAAUAGAGAAACAGCAUAUGAACAGAUUUUUUUAAAUAUGAAAUCAAUGCAUUAUUCUGUACAUUAAUGAAUAUACAAUGAUACAAUUGUAAUGUAUUAUGAUAAAAUGAAGUAAAGUUAAAUCAAAGCAUGGAUAGGAUCUGUAUAAAUCUCGAAAGUCGUUCCAGGGUCGAUAUACAUAAUAUUAUAGUACAGGCUCUUGUUUGAUUUGAUUUUAAAUAUUAAUUUGAACAGUGAAUUUGUUCAUCGUCCUUAAAGUUUGGUUCCCUUUCGUGUAUUAUGCAAGUAAUCUAAAAUAACGAUCUAUUUUUUAAGAAAAUAGAACUACGACAAAAAUUAAUAACAUACUUGCACAGUAGAGGAGAAUCAAGUACUGGAUAUGUUGUACUCGGUAAUAAUUUUGGUCACUUUAGAUACGACAGAAAUAAAAAAAAAAUAUAUAUAAGAAAAUUGAUUUAUGUCGAAUACAUUCAUUUUCAUGAUACCAUUUUAUUUCAUUAUAAUUUCUUAAAUCUUAGUCAUGAAUAUUUUCUCCCUUGGUAGAUUCAUGUUGGAAACAAUAAAGUGAUAAAUUUAUCGAGAAUAAUAGAGUGGCGUUCCAGGAAACGUGUGCCCGGUGUUUUGUGCGACGAAGGAUAGCUUCGUAUCGCUCCUUGCUGAGGGUUGAAAGGAUUCGGGGUUGGUGUCAUGCGAGAUAAGUUAAACGUGUUUACAUUACACUCAAUCCCGUUUAUUAUGGAAAGCAACAUCUGUUAAAAUAAUUUCUAACCGCUGGGUAACUGUGUCCUUAUCAAAAUAGUCGACAUCUGCGUUGGUGUCAAGAAUUUGUAAUAUAGCGUGAUAUACGAUUACAAAGUAGUUGUUACAAGUUAAAGCAUACGAAUGACACA